rnacentral:lncRNA from 1 species
UCAAGAUGAGGAGGCUAGCCUUCGGAUCUUCGAGGAGGUGGCCACAUGGAGGUUCCAAGAUGGCUUCUACAGCCUCAGGUAGUCUGCCAUCCAGCACACCGAUUCUCAGUACCAUCAGACUAGAGGUCUUUCACAGAUCACUGGAUGUGGGUGGAUAUAUGGCAGGCCCUCUGUGACUAAUGGAAUAGCAAAGAGUACUCCAUAGGCAGCAGAAGGCUCGAUAGAACUAGACCACCUAG